GCCCACGCUCCUUCAGUCAUUCAACAAACACACGCACUGUUGGGCGAAGGCCUGCUGCACCUCAGCAUCUUUGUUGACGCUGCUGCCACCCGGGCUGGGUGGCUCUGUGUGGAGCAGCACCCCUGGCCUCUGGUCCUGGGGUGCCCGUGUGGCAGCCAGAGAGUCUGCAGACACGGCCAACCCUGGCCCAGGAGCAGAGUGGCUCCCGGCUGGAACCGCAGUCCCCGAGGAUGAGCUCCGAGGUGCUGCAAGCGGCAAGUGCACCGUAUCCUCACCAGACAGAGCGCGUGCUGGCGUGGACAGGCUCGCCUGCUCAGUCACAUGCCAGCGCUGGCGAGGGGCACAGACCCACUGGGUCUCACUGCAGAGCCUGGCGGUGGCCCUCUCACGCCUGACCCUGAGGGCGAGUCACACCUUGGAGGCCCCUGGAGGCCCUGGAGAGGCUGCUUCUGCACGCGGCUUCCUGAAGACGCCCCUCUUGUCCCCUCCUGUCCCCUCCGCCCGCCCGCUGCCUUUCCACGGGGAGGGCUUCUCUGGUGUAAAGCGGGACUUUCUCAGAUGGCCCGCCGCCCCCUCCUUGGUGUGGAGGCGCAUUUGUACAGAGAGAAUGUCACGAAUCAGAACCUGGAGACGAUCACUCACUAGUCACCAGCACUCCUGGACUUGGAGAGCAGCCUGGAUCAGGCCCGCUCCUCCCGCUGAGCUCCCAGGCCUUCUAACCUUCUUCUAAUCUUUAGGGCAAACUUCUGCAGGAGGGGCCGAGACGAUCUCCAGGAUACAAAUGAGGAAACUGAGGCACAGAGAGGGAAGGAACUUGCCCAAGGCCACACAGCUGGGGAGUGGCAGAGCCUGGGUGCUUAGCUCCUCCGCUAACCCGCCCCUCCUGACGGGGCUAGCUGAGGCCUGGGGACCUCACACGCAGGAAGGCGUUUAAUCUCUCACUGUCUGACAGGUCGCCUGGGGCCAACAGGAACCGCUCUGCUGCAACAGCUGUCAGGGUCUCUGCCGUGAGGAGCCCGGGUGCUCAGCCUGGUCAGCGAGACAGCUGGCCACUGUCCCCGAUGCCACCAGCUGCCUGGGGCUCUCCCCACCUGUCCUUCAGCAGCCAUGGCCGUCCCCUCCUAGAGUCCUGGCUGGGUCCUGGCCACCCUCACAGAACACAGUCUUCAGCCCUUGGGGACAGGAGGCCUGGCUGGACGUGACCUUUGUGGCUUCUCUUUGGGUCUUUUCUUCCUUUCUGAGAUGGGGUGGUGCUCUGCUGCCGAGGCUGGCCUCUCUGCUCAGCCUCCAGAGCAGCAGGGACUACGGGUACACACCUCUGGGCCCAGCUGUCUUUUCUUGUCCUCACUCAGGGCUUGAGUCUGUGCCCCCAGCUACACGGCCAAAGCAGCUGCUGUGUUUUUACCAUCAUUUUCUUUUUAUUAGCGACCGUAGCAACGGCAGAGUGGUCAGGAACGUGGGCUUCGGGUCUGGACACUGCCUGAAACUGGCUCCUGCUCAGAUCCAACGUGAUCGUGGGCAGAUGACUGAGCCUCUCAGUGCUUCUGUUUUUAAUCUGUGAAACUGUUCCUUUUUAAGGGGACACCAACCUCGAGGGCUGUCAGGACUCUGUCACAAGCUGAUGGACAAGAGGCACUGAGAACAAAAACUGGCACACAGAAAAUGCUCAGUAAGUGCUAGCUAUUACUAUUCAUGACUUGCACUUAUGCCCAAUGCACACAGGAAGCCCUCACUACCCACUGUGCCUUACAAUUUGGAUAGAUCCUUGAAAGGCCAGACCAAACCCUCGCUCCUCCAUGAAGAUUUCUUAGAUUCCCUGCUGGGCAUAUCACACCACCUGUGCGUCUCUACAAGUCUUAGCACUACACUAGCCACACAUGGGCACUCAGUAUGUGCCAGUACUGUCCCCAGGCUGAACAGACAUGAUGUUAUUUUACUCUCUUCUCAACUUUACAUAUAACAACAAUAUUCCACUAUAGAUGAGGAAACUCAAGCUUGGAGAGAUAAAAAGACUGGUCCAAGGUCACAGCAAUAGUGAGUGGACCAGGUGGAACAUGAUGAACUCAGAGGGUGGGCACAGCUUGUGGAAGGGAAGAGGAAUGGGCAUUUUAGCUGCCCAUCUCUGCCUCUUGCAAAUAGAGAGAAACAUAAAAACCCAAUGUCUCAGA